UACGAAGGGGGCUAGCGUUGCUCGGAAUCACUGGGCGUAAAGCGCACGUAGGCGGAUUGUUAAGUCAGGGGUGAAAUCCUGGAGCUCAACUCCAGAACUGCCUUUGAUACUGGCGAUCUUGAGUCCGGAAGAGGUGAGUGGAACUCCGAGUGUAGAGGUGAAAUGCGUAGAGAUCGGAAGGAACAUCAGUGGCGAAAGCGGCUUCCUGGUCCAGCACCGACGUUCAGGCACGAAAGCGUGGGGAGCAAACAGG
rnacentral:rRNA from 1 species